AUUGAACGCUGGCGGCAUGCCUUACACAUGCAAGUCGAACGGCAGCACGGGUGCUUGCACCUGGUGGCGAGUGGCGAACGGGUGAGUAAUACAUCGGAACGUACCUUAUCGUGGGGGAUAACGCAGCGAAAGCUGUGCUAAUACCGCAUACGCCCUGCGGGGGAAAGCGGGGGAUCGCAAGACCCCGCGCGAUUAGAGCGGCCGAUGCCUGAUUAGCUAGUUGGUGGGGUAAAAGCCCACCAAGGCGACGAUCAGUAGCUGGUCUGAGAGGACGAUCAGCCACACUGGGACUGAGACACGGCCCAGACUCCUACGGGAGGCAGCAGUGGGGAAUUUUGGACAAUGGGGGCAACCCUGAUCCAGCAAUGCCGCGUGAGUGAAGAAGGCCUUCGGGUUGUAAAGCUCUUUUGUCAGGGAAGAAACACCGGCUCUAACACAGUCCGGGAAUGACGGUACCUGAAGAAUAAGCACCGGCUAACUACGUGCCAGCCGCCGCGGUAA
rnacentral:rRNA from 1 species